UACAGAGGUCCCAAGCGUUGUUCGGAUUCACUGGGCGUAAAGGGUGCGUAGGUGGCCAGGUAAGUUCGGUGUGAAAGCUCGGAGCUUAACUCCGAAAUGGCAUUGAAUACUAUCUGGCUAGAGGGUCGGAGGGGAGACUGGAAUUCUCGGUGUAGCAGUGAAAUGCGUAGAUAUCGAGAGGAACACCAGUGGCGAAGGCGAGGCUCUGGACGACUCCUGACACUGAGGCACGAAAGCCAGGGGAGCAAACAGG
rnacentral:rRNA from 1 species